rnacentral:rRNA from 1 species
UACAGAGGGUGCAAGCGUUAAUCGGAAUUACUGGGCGUAAAGCGCAUGUAGGUGGUUUUGCAAGUUUGAUGUGAAAGCCCUGGGCUUAACCUGGGAAUUGCGUUGAAAACUGUGAGACUAGAGUGGGAUAGAGGGCAGUGGAAUUUCCGGUGUAGCGGUGAAAUGCGUAGAGAUCGGAAAGAACAUCGGUGGCGAAGGCGGCUGCCUGGGUCCCAACUGACACUGAGGUGCGAAAGCGUGGGGAGCAAACAGG